rnacentral:pre_miRNA from 1 species
AGAGGGAUAGCUGGGUCAAAUGGUGGGUCCUAUCCCAAUUUUCCAAGAAAUCUCCAUAUUCAUUUCCAUAUUGGCUGCACCAAUUUGCAGUCCCACCAGCAAU